CCGUCAAUAAUAUAUGACAACAUUUUUCUUUUUUAUUUUAAAUGUCGCAUUGGCUCUGUUUCUCUGUCCCUUUCUCUACGUUGCUUUUUGUUCAAUUCCACUUUUUCUCGAUCACCAAAACCCCCUGCAAACCAUGUAAACUAUGAACAUAGAAUCCAAACCAGAAAUUCCCUCAUUUUCUCCUGGGGAUUGUUACUGUUUAUUUUGCCUUCCCUGGCUUUCUGGCGGAUUCGAGGGCUCGCUGUACCAGAUCUAGCUCCGAUUGACCAUCGGUAUGCUGAAUCCGAGCUCUUUAAGGGGCACAAAGUGGAGCCAGAAAGCAAUAGAGUAGGGUUUAUUUGCUGAGUGCUUGAGGGGCCGUGAGUGUGAGUGUUUGGUUGUGGUUGCUACUUGUCGGCUAUGCAGAGAGUGGCACAGUCGAGCUUGAGCACGAGCGUUGCGGGCAGCUACGGCUCGUUUAAGGGCGGCGGCGGUUCUGGUUCUGGCUCUGCUGCUCAAGUUAUGGUGUACGAGCAUUUCCCAGCGGGCCUGAGGGUUCUCGUGGUCGACGACGACGUCACUUGCCUGAGGAUUAUCGAGCAGAUGCUCCACCGUUGCCGUUACCAUGUUACAACUUGUUCUGAGGCUGCUGUUGCUUUGAAUCACCUACGGGAGAGGAAAGGGUGUUUUGAUGUAGUACUGAGUGAUGUACAUAUGCCUGAUAUGGAUGGUUAUAAACUUCUAGAGCACGUUGGACUAGAAAUGGAUCUUCCUGUUAUUAUGAUGUCUGCUGAUGGGAGAACAAGUGCUGUAAUGAAAGGAAUCAGACAUGGGGCUUGUGAUUAUUUGAUUAAGCCUAUACGUGAGGAAGAGCUCAAAAAUAUAUGGCAGCAUGUUGUGCGAAAAAAGUGGAAUGAAAAUAAAGAACUUGAAAAUUCCAGCAGCCUAGAAGAGAAUGACCGCCAUAAACGAGGAAAUGAUGAUGCUGAAUAUGCUUCCUCUGCUAAUGAAGGAGCAGAGGGAAUACUGAAAGCUCAGAAAAAAAGGGGCAAUGCUAAAGAUGAAGAUGAUGGGGCGUUGGAAAAUGACGAUCCAUCCACAUCAAAGAAACCACGUGUGGUAUGGUCUGUAGAACUCCAUCAGCAAUUUGUCAGUGCUGUGAACCAACUUGGGCUCGAUAAGGCUGUACCAAAGCGAAUUUUGGAAUUGAUGAAUGUACCUGGUUUAACUAGAGAAAAUGUUGCUAGCCAUUUACAGAAAUUUAGGCUAUACUUGAAGAGAUUAAGUGGAGUAGCUCAACAACAAAGUGGAAUUUCUAAUACCAUCUGUGGGCCUGUGGAGCCAAAUGUGAAAUUGGGUUCACUUGGACGAUUUGACAUCCAAGCUUUGGCUGCUUCUGGCCAAAUUCCCCCACAAACACUUGCAGCCCUGCAUGCUGAGCUUUUAGGUCGACCAACAGGUAACCUAAUUCCAGCAAUGGAUCAGCCUGCUCUUCUACAAGCUUUGUUACAAGGACCCAAGCAUUUGCCUAUUGAACAUGGCGUGGCAUUUGGUCAGCCUUUAAUAAAAUGCCAAUCUAACAUUUCAAAACACCUCCAGCAAUCGAAACUUUCUUCUGUUGAGGAUGUCUCCUCUGGAUUCGGAGCAUGGACAUCUAAUAAUCUUGGUACAGUGGGACCUAGUAACAAUCUGGUUGGGCUGAGUGCUCAGAAUAGCAACAUGUUGAUGGAUAUAUUGCAGCAGCAGCAACAAGAAUCACAGCAGCAGUCUAUGCUUCCUGAAUCGAGCUGUUUAAUCAACGUGCAGCCGUCUUGCUUAGUGGUCCCCUCUCAAUCAUCUGCCAAUUUGCAGGCAGGAAAUAAUACUGCUUCAGUCAGUCAGAAUUGCUACUUUAACGAGAGUUCUGUUAUUGACUACAGUCUUCUCUCUCAGUCAAAUAAUUCCUCAUUGAAUAUUCGGGAAUUCCCUAAUGGGGCUCUGAACACUACAGGUGUGCUUAGUGGCUACUCAGCCCCAGGUUCCAUUUCAUCUUCUGUGUCGUCUAGCUCUGUAAAUGCCGAUAACAGCAUGGGUCGGCAUGGUCAAAGCUUGAGCAUUACAUUCAGUGCUGCCAGACAGUUGCCAGGACUUGUUCCUAAUAUUCAUGAUAUUCAGGGUUCCUAUAUCUCGAAAACUGGUGAAAUGCUUGAUCAAGGACCUCUUAGGAAUCUUGGAUUUGCUGGUAAAGGGACUUGCAUUCCAAGUCGAUUUGCAGUAGAUGAAUUUGAAUCACCAAUGAGCAACUUGGGCCAUGGAAAAUUAUAUGUAGAGAACAGCAGAGUGAAGCAGGAGCCAAAUGUCGAUUUUAUGGAUAGCACAAAAGUGGGCAUCCCUAUAUUACACCAAUUUUCGUCCAAUGAUGUCACGAGUGUUUUUACAGAAUAGGUACUUGUGUUAUGAGGAAGAAAAAAGAAGUGUACUGACUGUCACAGACUAGCUUUCCACAAUAGCUCUGGCAAAAAUGCCCGACAUAUUCUCUUGCUUAAGAAACCGCACCUGUUGCAAAUUCAAAUCAGACGAGGGAGAGAUAGAGGUGCUUCCCACUUUUUAUUAAGCUUGGGAAUCGUGAAGAAUGGUAUACCAUGAAGGCGUAACUUGGAUAUAUUCAUGAAUUGAGUGUAAGAGUAAGAACUCCGGAGUUGUAUGGUGAUUAACACUAAUUGCACGGACGUAUGAGCAAUGUUUUGAAUACUAUACCGGAUGUUGUACCAGUCAAGGCAAGGAGCACACAGGAAGAGAUGAAGAGGAAGGUCUUGAUGAAUACAUGCGGAAGUGCGUUUCCCUUGAAGUUGCAUGCUGAAUCUUAGAAAGUUUAGAGAGCUUGCAUGCUAUAAUAUGCACAAUUUGGGUUAUUUAUUCUAUAGCGAUUACAAUUGUAAGCUUGAAUGACACUGUGGGGUUUAGUUUUGAGUUCAAAACCUUGAUGGCCCUUGAAAUGGUAUACAAAUGUCUUACUUCGUCUUAGGUCUUAAAAUGAGUGAUUUUAUUGGCUUGGGUCCCUGCUUGUUAAUUUGUAUAGGUGAGAGGUUGAAACAAUUCUUUGAGGAAGGUCCUUUGACACAUGAAGCCUAACCAUGUAUGAAAGUAUACGGCUCUUUAAUGGCAUUGUUGAUGUGAAGUAAUGCUCAGGUGUUGAGACAUGAAUAAUUGAGGAAUCAAAGUUGGGUGUCCCGUAUCAUGUGUGUUGAGGAUUAUCUGAAAACACUACGUUCCUAGCAA